GGAGUUGAUCCAAAUGAUCCUUCAAUGAAAGAUCUGAUUGCAUCUCUGCAAGGCCAGCCUGAGAAGAAAGAUAAAGAUCAGCCACCAAAUGCUGAUAAGUGAACUUGCCCAUCGUGCUUUGAAUCUAGUGAAUGGAUACGUUUUCAAAGGCAAACCAAUAAUCAUCCAGUUUGGGUGGAAUCCUGCUUCUUCAAAAGCAAAUUAAUCGAACAUUUCCGCAUGAUUCAUGAACAGGAGGAAGCUCUUUAUGCUGCCCUGUCAUCGUUGGUUCUAUAUUAACUAUUCAUUCUCAUAUUCCUAAUAAAGCUGGACUUCAAAUCCAUCAAACUUUGGUUUUUUUAAGUUUCUUA